rnacentral:rRNA from 1 species
UACAGAGGGGGCAAGCGUUGUUCGGAAUUACUGGGCGUAAAGGGCGCGUAGGCGGCCCGCUAAGUCGAACGUGAAAUCCCCGAGCUCAACUCGGGAACUGCGUCCGAUACUGGCGGGCUUGAAUCCGGGAGAGGGAUGUGGAAUUCCAGGUGUAGCGGUGAAAUGCGUAGAUAUCUGGAGGAACACCGGUGGCGAAGGCGACAUCCUGGACCGGUAUUGACGCUGAGGAGCGAAAGCGUGGGGAGCAAACAGG